rnacentral:rRNA from 1 species
GACGAACGCUGGCGGCGUGCCUAAUACAUGCAAGUAGAACGCACAGUUUAUACCGUAGCUUGCUACACCAUAGACUGUGAGUUGCGAACGGGUGAGUAACGCGUAGGUAACCUGCCUGGUAUCGGGGGAUAACUAUUGGAAACGAUAGCUAAUACCGCAUAAUAUUGAUUAUUGCAUGAUAAUUGAUUGAAAGAUGCUAUUGCAUCACUACCAGAUGGACCUGCGUUGUAUUAGCUAGUAGGUGAGGUAACGGCUCACCUAGGCGGAGAUACAUAGCCGAACGUGAGGGGUUGUUCGCCAAACUGGGACCGAGACACCGCCCAGACUCCCACCGGAGGCAGCAGGAGGGGAUCUUCGGCAAAGGACGGAAGUUUGACCGGGCAACGGCGCGGGAGGGGAGAAGGGUUUCGGAUCGUAAAACUCUGUUGGUAGGGAAGAACGGGGGUGAGAGUGGAAAGUUCACACUGUGACGGUAUCUAACCAGAAAGGGACGGCUAACUACGUG